rnacentral:rRNA from 1 species
CAGGAUUAGAUACCCUGGUAGUCCACGCCGUAAACGAUGCUAACUCGUUUUUGGGUUUUCGGAUUCAGAGACUAAGCGAAAGUGAUAAGUUAGCCACCUGGGGAGUACGUUCGCAAGAAUGAAACUCAAAGGAAUUGACGGGGGCCCGCACAAGCGGUGGAUUAUGUGGUUUAAUUCGAUGAUACGCGAGGAACCUUACCAAGGCUUAAAUGGGAAUUGAUCGGUUUAGAAAUAGACCUUCCUUCGGGCAAUUUUCAAGGUGCUGCAUGGUUGUCGUCAGCUCGUGCCGUGAGGUGUUAGGUUAAGUCCUGCAACGAGCGCAACCCCUGUUACUAGUUGCUACCAUUAAGUUGAGGACUCUAGUAAGACUGCCUACGCAAGUAGAGAGGAAGGUGGGGAUGACGUCAAAUCAUCACGGCCCUUACGCCUUGGGCCACACACGUAAUACAAUGGCAGGUACAGAGGGCAGCUACACAGCGAUGUGAUGCGAAUCUCGAAAGCCUGUCUCAGUUCGGAUUGGAGUCUGCAACUCGACUCUAUGAAGCUGGAAUCGCUAGUAAUCGCGCAUCAGCCAUGGCGCGGUGAAUACGUUCCCGGGCCUUGUACACACCGCCCGUCAAGCCAUGGAAGUCUGGGGUACCUGAAGUCGGUGACCGUAAAAAGGAGCUGCCUAGGGUAAAACANGUAACUAGGGCUAANUCGUAAC